GUCCACGCUGUAAACGAUGAGUACUAGGUGUAGGGGUAUCGACCCCCUCUGUGCCGAAGCUAACGCGAUAAGUACUCCGCCUGGGGACUACGGCCGCAAGGCUAAAACUCAAAGGAAUUGACGGGGGCCCGCACAAGCAGUGGAGCGUGUGGUUUAAUUCGAUGAUACGCGAAGAACCUCACCCAGGUUUGACAUGCACGUGGUACUGAGGUGAAAGCCAAGGGACCCUUCGGGGAGCGUGCACAGGUGUUGCACGGCCGUCGU
rnacentral:rRNA from 1 species